rnacentral:rRNA from 1 species
GGACGAACGCUGGCGGAGUGCCUAAUACAUGCAAGAUCGAACGCUUACUUUCCAUCCCGAGAUGCUUGCACAUCAAUUGGAACACGACGUGAGUAGGCGGACGGGUAGAGUAACACGUGGGUAACCUGCCCAUACAGAGGGGGAUAACACUUGGAAACAGGUGCUAAUACCGCAUAACCAGUAUAUGCCGCAUGGCAUAAGAGUGAAAGGCGCUUUCGGGUGUCGCUGAUGGAUGGACCCGCGGUGCAUAUAGCUAGUUAGGUGAGGUAAACGGAUCACCAAGGACCACGAUGCAUAGCCGACCUGAGAGGGUGAUCGGCCACACUGGGACUGAAACACGGAACCAGAACUCCUACGGGAGGACAGCAGAUCAGAGGAAUCUUCGGCAAUGGACGAAAGUCUGACCGAGCAACGCCGCGUGAGUGACAGAAGGUAUCACGGAUCGUAAAACUCUGUUGUACAGAGAAGAACAAGGACCGUACAGUAACUGAACGUCCCCUGACGGUAUCUAAACAGAAAGCCACGGCUAACUCACGUGCCAGACAGCCGCGGUACAUACGUAAGGUGGCAAAGCGUAAGACACGGACUACAAUCUGGAGCCGU